CCGGAUUAUUAAUAGAUAUGUUCUUGAAAUUUAAAGAAUUUGGCGGUGAUUUAGUCUAAUCAGAGGAACCUGUUUUUUAAUCGAUAAACCACGUAAAAUCUUACUUAAGUUUGUAUACCGUCAUUAACAGAUAAUUUUUAGAGAAAAGAAUUAUUAAUAAAUAUAAUUUGAAUUAAUGAAAUUAGAUCAAGGUGCAGCUUAUAAGUGAGUUAAAAUGGGUUACAAUAAAUUUUAUUUAUAAUGGAUAUUUAAUGAAUUGGAAGGAGGAUUUGAUUGUAUAUAAGUUUAAUAUGCUUAAGAGACAUAAGCUCUAAAUCAUGU
rnacentral:rRNA from 1 species